GCCCUGGAGGUUGCAAAAAAUUGGUGGCUGCGACUGUUUAUUAAAAACAUAGCACUGUGCAAACACGAAAGUGGACGUAUACGGUGUGACGCCUGCCCGGUGCCGGAAGGUUAAUUGAUGGGGUUAGCGUAAGCGAAGCUCUUGAUCGAAGCCCCGGUAAACGGCGGCCGUAACAAUAACGGUCCUAAGGUAGCGAAAUUCCUUGUCGGGUAAGUUCCGACCUGCACGAAUGGCGUAACGACUUCCCCACUGUCUCCAGCAUCGACUCAGCGAAAUUGAAUUGCCCGUGAAGAUGCGGGCUACCCGCGGUUAGACGGAAAGACCCCGUGCACCUUUACUACAGCUUUGCAUUGGACUUUGAACCUAUUUGUGUAGGAUAGGUGGGAGACUUUGAAGCGUGAACGCUAGUUUGCGUGGAGUCAUCCUUGAAAUACCACCCUGGUAUGUUUGGAGUCCUAACCCAGGUCCGUAAUCCGGAUCGGGGACAAUGUAUGGUGGGUAGUUUGACUGGGGCGGUCUCCUCCUAAAGAGUAACGGAGGAGCGCGAAGGUACUCUAAAUACGGUCGGAAAUCGUAUGGUUAGUGUAAAGGCAAAAGAGUGCUUGACUGCGAGACGGACAUGUCGAGCAGGUACGAAAGUAGGUCUUAGUGAUCCGGUGGUUCUGUAUGGAAGGGCCAUCGCUCAACGGAUAAAAGGUACUCCGGGGAUAA
rnacentral:rRNA from 1 species